rnacentral:rRNA from 1 species
GGGUUGUGAGGUUAAGCGACUAAGCGUACACGGUGGAUGCCCUGGCAGUCAGAGGCGAUGAAGGACGUGCUAAUCUGCGAUAAGCGUCGGUAAGGUGAUAUGAACCGUUAUAACCGGCGAUUUCCGAAUGGGGAAACCCAGUGUGAUUCGUCACACUAUCAUUAACUGAAUCCAUAGGUUAAUGAGGCGAACCGGGGGAACUGAAACAUCUAAGUACCCCGAGGAAAAGAAAUCAACCGAGAUUCCCCCAGUAGCGGCGAGCGAACGGGGAGGAGCCCAGAGCCUGAAUCAGUGUGUGUGUUAGUGGAAGCGUCUGGAAAGGCGCGCGAUACAGGGUGACAGCCCCGUACACAAAAAUGCACAUGCUGUGAGCUCGAUGAGUAGGGCGGGACACGUGGUAUCCUGUCUGAAUAUGGGGGGACCAUCCUCCAAGGCUAAAUACUCCUGACUGACCGAUAGUGAACCAGUACCGUGAGGGAAAGGCGAAAAGAACCCCGGCGAGGGGAGUGAAAAAGAACCUGAAACCGUGUACGUACAAGCAGUGGGAGCACAGAGCAAUCUGUGUGACUGCGUACCUUUUGUAUAAUGGGUCAGCGACUUAUAUUCUGUAGCAAGGUUAACCGAAUAGGGGAGCCGAAGGGAAACCGAGUCUUAACUGGGCGUUAAGUUGCAGGGUAUAGACCCGAAACCCGGUGAUCUAGCCAUGGGCAGGUUGAAGGUUGGGUAACACUAACUGGAGGACCGAACCGACUAAUGUUGAAAAAUUAGCGGAUGACUUGUGGCUGGGGGUGAAAGGCCAAUCAAACCGGGAGAUAGCUGGUUCUCCCCGAAAGCUAUUUAGGUAGCGCCUCGUGAAUUCAUCUCCGGGGGUAGAGCACUGUUUCGGCAAGGGGGUCAUCCCGACUUACCAACCCGAUGCAAACUGCGAAUACCGGAGAAUGUUAUCACGGGAGACACACGGCGGGUGCUAACGUCCGUCGUGAAGAGGGAAACAACCCAGACCGCCAGCUAAGGUCCCAAAGUCAUGGUUAAGUGGGAAACGAUGUGGGAAGGCCCAGACAGCCAGGAUGUUGGCUUAGAAGCAGCCAUCAUUUAAAGAAAGCGUAAUAGCUCACUGGUCGAGUCGGCCUGCGCGGAAGAUGUAACGGGGCUAAACCAUGCACCGAAGCUGCGGCAGCGACGCUUAUGCGUUGUUGGGUAGGGGAGCGUUCUGUAAGCCUGCGAAGGUGUGCUGUGAGGCAUGCUGGAGGUAUCAGAAGUGCGAAUGCUGACAUAAGUAACGAUAAAGCGGGUGAAAAGCCCGCUCGCCGGAAGACCAAGGGUUCCUGUCCAACGUUAAUCGGGGCAGGGUGAGUCGACCCCUAAGGCGAGGCCGAAAGGCGUAGUCGAUGGGAAACAGGUUAAUAUUCCUGUACUUGGUGUUACUGCGAAGGGGGGACGGAGAAGGCUAUGUUGGCCGGGCGACGGUUGUCCCGGUUUAAGCGUGUAGGCUGGUUUUCCAGGCAAAUCCGGAAAAUCAAGGCUGAGGCGUGAUGACGAGGCACUACGGUGCUGAAGCAACAAAUGCCCUGCUUCCAGGAAAAGCCUCUAAGCAUCAGGUAACAUCAAAUCGUACCCCAAACCGACACAGGUGGUCAGGUAGAGAAUACCAAGGCGCUUGAGAGAACUCGGGUGAAGGAACUAGGCAAAAUGGUGCCGUAACUUCGGGAGAAGGCACGCUGAUAUGUAGGUGAAGCGACUUGCUCGUGGAGCUGAAAUCAGUCGAAGAUACCAGCUGGCUGCAACUGUUUAUUAAAAACACAGCACUGUGCAAACACGAAAGUGGACGUAUACGGUGUGACGCCUGCCCGGUGCCGGAAGGUUAAUUGAUGGGGUCAGCGCAAGCGAAGCUCUUGAUCGAAGCCCCGGUAAACGGCGGCCGUAACUAUAACGGUCCUAAGGUAGCGAAAUUCCUUGUCGGGUAAGUUCCGACCUGCACGAAUGGCGUAAUGAUGGCCAGGCUGUCUCCACCCGAGACUCAGUGAAAUUGAACUCGCUGUGAAGAUGCAGUGUACCCGCGGCAAGACGGAAAGACCCCGUGAACCUUUACUAUAGCUUGACACUGAACAUUGAGCCUUGAUGUGUAGGAUAGGUGGGAGGCUUUGAAGUGUGGACGCCAGUCUGCAUGGAGCCGACCUUGAAAUACCACCCUUUAAUGUUUGAUGUUCUAACGUGGACCCGUAAUCCGGGUUGCGGACAGUGUCUGGUGGGUAGUUUGACUGGGGCGGUCUCCUCCUAAAGAGUAACGGAGGAGCACGAAGGUUGGCUAAUCCUGGUCGGACAUCAGGAGGUUAGUGCAAUGGCAUAAGCCAGCUUGACUGCGAGCGUGACGGCGCGAGCAGGUGCGAAAGCAGGUCAUAGUGAUCCGGUGGUUCUGAAUGGAAGGGCCAUCGCUCAACGGAUAAAAGGUACUCCGGGGAUAACAGGCUGAUACCGCCCAAGAGUUCAUAUCGACGGCGGUGUUUGGCACCUCGAUGUCGGCUCAUCACAUCCUGGGGCUGAAGUAGGUCCCAAGGGUAUGGCUGUUCGCCAUUUAAAGUGGUACGCGAGCUGGGUUUAGAACGUCGUGAGACAGUUCGGUCCCUAUCUGCCGUGGGCGCUGGAGAACUGAGGGGGGCUGCUCCUAGUACGAGAGGACCGGAGUGGACGCAUCACUGGUGUUCGGGUUGUCAUGCCAAUGGCACUGCCCGGUAGCUAAAUGCGGAAGAGAUAAGUGCUGAAAGCAUCUAAGCACGAAACUUGCCCCGAGAUGAGUUCUCCCUGACUCCUUGAGAGUCCUGAAGGAACGUUGAAGACGACGACGUUGAUAGGCCGGGUGUGUAAGCGCAGCGAUGCGUUGAGCUAACCGGUACUAAUGAACCGUGAGGCUUAACCUUACAACGCCGAAGGUGUUU